rnacentral:misc_RNA from 1 species
CGCACCUUGCGCUCCUUGGUAUUCCGAGGAGCAUGCCUGUUUGAGUGUCAUUAAAUUCUCAACUCCCUUUGAUUUCUUCAAAGGUGAGCUUGGACUGUGGAGGUCUGCCGGCUGCAAAGUCGGCUCCUCUGAAAUGCAUUGGUGAAGUCGCGUGCAUAUAAUCGGCCUUCGAUGUGAUAAUGAUCAUCGUGGCUGGCUUGCUUUAACGCUUUGCCUUACUUGUCUCCGUUCACGCGGAACACUUUGACCUUUUGGCCUCAAAUCAGGUAGGACUACCCGCUGAACUUAA